ACAGUUACUUGUGCAAAAAAAUUAAUUCAAGUGGCRUUUUUUGUUGUUAAAAAGUUAUUUUUUAAUAAAAGUAACUACACACUGAGUUAUUUUGAUUGGUUAGAUCGGUUGAGUCAAAACAUUUGACAUAGUGGCUGGUUGUAGAUUCAUUUUUCACAAUCCAGCUUUUUAAACCACACGUUCACCAAAUCCAACCAGACUGAACGUCUGCUUUUGUAUGUAACAAAUAAAGGCAAGCUGUGUCAAACCCAGCACUGCUCAGUUAAAGCUYGCCAGGCCCAGGACUGGCUUCAUAUGACCCAGCACUGGGUUACAUUUAGGGCUGUUUAAAUCCAGAAGGUUUUACGGUACAUAAUUUGGCGAAUCAUUGUGACUGGAAACUGACACAGACCUUCGUUUGUGUGUGUGUAUGUAUGUGUGUGUGGCAACAAAGCUUUUGUUUCAGCUCGGUAAGUAAACCUGAAACAAAAAGCACAUUGUGCUUCAGACCUAAUACAGCCAUUCUGAGAACUGGUGAGCUCAUAAACGAGAAAGAAACAAUCUUCCAUAACCCUCCAUUUUACUUAUCAUAAAGUGUUAAUCCUGAAAUUAUUACUUCUGUGUAUAUUCUAAUUUUUUUCUCUUUUGCCCUUCAGCACUACAGAGGAACAAAACAGUAAACAACAAAAAGUCGUUCUAUCAAGUUCACACGCAAUGGACUGGACUUCCUAAAGCUGCUGCAUCACAGGCCUUUGUGCCAAAGCUGGAUUUCCAUUGGAUGGGAGGAGUUGUCCUCGCUCCACGAGCUGCACAGCUUCGUUUUAUUGGCUUAAGCCGGCAGGCAGCUGACGAUUCUGAUUGGUUGGGAAGCUCUGUUUUCUUAUACAAAGGGCUGAAUAACAGACGCACGUUCAUGCAGUAUUCUACCAUGCAACAGGGACAGAGAAUGGGACUCGUGUUUUAAACCAUGGCAGCAUGGAGCUGCAGGUG